GGUACACUGAACAAACUGUCUACAGUAAGCAGCUUAGUCUUUCCACUCGAUUCUCCUUAUGCUUAUUUAUUUUUCAUAUAUGCUUAAACUUUAUUAUGGAUGUCAUCUAUAACCAUGCAUUAGUUGUAAUUACUAAUUUGUUAUGCUCGCACGCACUUCCUUGCCACUAUGUUCCCUUCUAAUGAAACUAGAAAAGAAAUGAUGCAUAUAACUUCAAUGAUGUUGGUUCAAAAAAAAAAAAAAUACAACUUCGAUGAUGUUGUAACCAUUUCCCUUUGUUUCAAAACCUAAUAGUUAAUGGCGGAAUUUUAGAGCAGAAAUGCCUGGGUUUAAGUGUAGGAAUACAUUUGGCCAUACAACAUAACUAAAAGCAUGUUCAUACUCUUUGGCUUUUCAUGCAUUCAGUUGCAUGACUGCCUUUGCGCAAUAUAGAAUAAUGCUUAAAUUCAUUUCUGAUACUCUAUUCAAUUUCUCUUUGUGGAUGCAAGUCCUUGUAUUUAUAAUUGUUUUAUGUCUUCUGGUUGCAUCUUUGAAGCUGAGGGAGUACGUUGAUGAUACA
rnacentral:misc_RNA from 1 species